rnacentral:lncRNA from 1 species
UGUCAAUACCAUUAGCAACUUCGGGCUGUUUUCUUCCAUUUGCUUUCCCCUCCCGGCACUAAAAGCUCAUUAGGGCUCUGACAGAAGAGAAAUGGCUGGAGUAGGGAAGAGAAACUCUUCGUUUCCCAGAAAUUCUGCUCUGGGCUUCCGUUCCCUGUUUCCUAGCAGGCUGGACCUGCAGUGACCUCCAGAGACAGUUCAAAACCUGGCCAGGGUGGAGGGAUGCAGGCGACGCAGGCCCAAGGCCCAUCCGGACCCAGACUGCGUCUCCUCCAUGCAGCGCAAUGAGCCUCAGACCCCGAUCUGCUGUAGUUCAUCACACCUGGAUGUGGAAUCAUUCACACCUGGAUGGGGCUGCGAUUUACCCAGAACUGAGAAGCCACAGACUGCUGAGCAAAGGAAGAGUGUAAAUGAGGCUGGGGAGUGGGGGCGUGUUUAACCUACUUAAGAGAAUCUCUUUUCUCAAGCACUUUAGCACCUUCGUUUGCAAGGAAGAGAAUGUCUUUUGCUGAAUACAAGCCACACCAAGCUGGCCAAUGAGGGGCCUCUGGGGCCUCGGAUGGGCAGCACUUCGUUCUUACUGCAGGAGACCCUAGGAGGGGCAGCACUGCUCAGAGAGAAGGCCCCCCCAGCGGAGACUAAGCCCAGCUCCUAGAUCCCGCCCUGUCCCACGUGUACCCAAGGCUACCGCCUUGACAUUCUAAGCCCCAGGGUCUGCAAGUGGAAAGUGAGCAAAUUGAACAGAUGAUUUCUGAGAUCCAUGGCUACCCUUGAAUGCACUCAGUUAUUUUGCGGCAUCACAGAAUUUUUUUUUUUUUUAGCAAAUAUGACAAAAUGUUAAUAUUGUUAUUAUGUAAGGGAUCAUAAAAUUGGUAAGGAAUAUAGCAAGAUAUCAAAGAAUAAUAGACAAAAGACAUAGCCUGACAAUUUCCCAAAAGAAAAAAUACUAAAUGGUAAGGAAACGUAACCAAAAAGCUGGUCUUGCUAUUAUUCAAGGAAAUGCAAACCAAAAUAAUGAUGCCACUUUGCUAAUUAGCAAAAACUUUAUGA